rnacentral:lncRNA from 1 species
CCAAAAAUUUUCUUCUUACAUGCCCCAUUCUUCUCCUCCUUUUAUAAUAACGUCAAACAUCUUAUCCAAAAGAAAAGACAAAGAUGAGUAUUUGUAUAUUUGAAUUCAAAUCAAAUUUUGAAUUCAAAUGGACACCAACUCAUCCCUUAUCCACUAAAGGUGUGAGGCAUGGCUUAAAUUAUGCAUGGAGUGAUUUCAUGAAAAAUCUUUUCUCAUGUAAUAAA